CCUACGGGCGGCAGCAGUGGGGAAUAUUGGACAAUGGGCGAAAGCCUGAUCCAGCCAUGCCGCGUGUGUGAAGAAGGCCUUCGGGUUGUAAAGCACUUUCAGUGGGGAAGAAAGCCUUGGGGCUAAUACCCUCGAGGAAGGACAUCACCCACAGAAGAAGCACCGGCUAACUCCGUGCCAGCAGCCGCGGUAAUACGGAGGGUGCGAGCGUUAAUCGGAAUUACUGGGCGUAAAGCGCGCGUAGGCGGUCUGAUAAGCCGGUUGUGAAAGCCCCGGGCUCAACCUGGGAACGGCAUCCGGAACUGUCAGGCUAGAGUGCAGGAGAGGAAGGUAGAAUUCCCGGUGUAGCGGUGAAAUGCGUAGAGAUCGGGAGGAAUACCAGUGGCGAAGGCGGCCUUCUGGACUGACACUGACGCUGAGGCGCGAAAGCGUGGGUAGCAAACAGGAUUAGAUACCCGGGUAGUC
rnacentral:rRNA from 1 species